GAGCCAGUACAGGAUGGACCCGCGUCUGAUUAGCUAGUUGGUAAGGUAACGGCUUACCAAGGCGACGAUCAGUAGCCGACCUGAGAGGGAGAUCGGCCACAUUGGAACUGAGACACGGUCCAAACUCCUACGGGAGGCAGCAGUGGGGAAUAUUGCACAAUGGGCGAAAGCCUGAUGCAGCAACGCCGCGUGAGUGAUGAAGGCCUUCGGGUCGUAAAACUCUGUC
rnacentral:rRNA from 1 species